AUCUAAAAAAGAAGCAAUAUGUCAAAUGAUAGGAUCCAAGGUGCUUUUGAAACAUCUAAUCCUAAGAUCAUUUAGCAGAAAAAUAAUUGGGGCCAUUCCAUCCCUGGUUACUGCUAGAAAACCUUGUAAUUCUGUUUUUCAAGUUCCAUUUCCUGUCAUUACCAGAACAUCAGCUGAGGGUUUACAGAGAUAACACACUAUAUCACAUUACUUGUUUUAAGGACCCUAUAUAUAGUAUUCUAGAAGACCAUUCCUCAUGCUAUAUUCCGGAAAGAAAAAAAAUUGGUGAAAUCCUGGAAAAUAAGCACCAAGUACUCUACAAGGUUAUCAGAACGCCAUUGAUCAAUGGUAUCAUUCUGAUCUGUUGAAGUCUUAGUAUAAUGAUAUCAUAGAAAGGGGUAAGAAAUAGGAAUCAUUUCUCAUUUUUCAUAUACCUUAUAUCACUGUCUUACACCUCUGCUGUCUGAUGCUACUUGCUCUUGUGAGUUGGAGAUGAAGAGGCACAGAAUCAAUGGCACAGAUCCUGGAAUGGAUUGGAACAUCCCAGCAACCUUAUAUGAAUACUGCUACAAGCUCAUUUAUUUACUCACAGAAGGGUGCUCUUUAUAAAGCGCACCUGCAUUUUAUUGGUCAAUGCAAGCUUCUCUUCCAAGCAUAAGUUCCCAACAAGCUGGAUGAUCUGCAUCAUCAAUCCUUAGUCUUUUUGGCAGUCUCCAAUUAGGUCCUUCUGCAGGGGUUGCCUUUGUCUCUUUGCUCUGUGCUACAACAUAAUGGACAGGCAGCCACUUCUGUUUCUUCUACAUUUCCACACAUUUCUUUUUAGACUUUGACAGCCUAGUGCAAGCCAGGGUGCCAUUGCCUCCACAUUGUUGUCCCCGCUUGGAGGGUUACCAGUAUACUGGACUGUGCUUGUCUCUAAUUUUCCUGUGUUCCAGGAUCUUACCCAUCAUUGAAUAUUAGCCCUCAAAGUGACAUCACUACCGAGGCAGUAACAGAAGGGAGAGAUGAGAAACUGCCUACAUGGUUGUCUCAGCCAUCUCAGACAUCCAGGCUUUCCUUCCUUCCUUAGGAGUUGCACAAUCAGGAUUUUAAGCACUUUCAGGAUUUUCAAGGACCAUCAGCAAUUGGAGGGUCAUCUUAUUUGUGGCGUAUUGCCUGGAAAUAUCCUGUGUGAUGUACUUAAAAUAAUUAUCAGUAGGACAAUUCUUCCCAUCAUAGCAUAAAUGGCUAUUAAUGAGUGGACAAACACCCUCUUAAUGUUGUCCUACACUUUUCUUAAGAAUACAGAAUCUAUGAAAAGCAAAGAGAACAUGACAGUAUUAAGUUUGGCUGUGUUCUUCUUUAGCAGCACAUAGUAGCUAAGGGGUUUGUUUGAGCAGGUACUUUAAAUAUAUUGAACUGCAUGUGGUUGAGCUUCAGUAACAUUAUGUUCCUGGAAAAUGGUUAGGAAGAUUUAGUGAGACCUGGAUUCACAGGUCAAUAUAGACAUGUUAGUAACAAGGCCAACUCUUCUGUCACUAGGUCAAUAUGUCAUAAAAUGUGAAUGACUUCAUAAAGAUAAUGAUCCAGUAGCUCCUGUGCCUGUAGUGCUUCAGAUGACUUAGAGAUUAUGGCAUUGACAGGCUCUGCCAUAAUGUCCGUCUGAGUCAAGGAAAUAAUAUCUGUGUCACCCCUGCAAUGCCUGCAGUGAUGGCUGCAAUGAUGGCAGUCACAAUACCAAAAUCCCUCUUUCCUCAGUGCAGGGGUUGUAAGUGAGUCUGGAUCAUCAGUGUGACGGCAUGGAAAAAGUCAGAAAGAGAAGCAUGAAUAUGCUGCUUCAAAUGUUCUAACCACAGUGCUGAUGUGUAGAUGAAGAUCUGGGUUUUAAUUUUCUGUCACCUUCAUCUGGGAUAAAAAAAUAUGACAUCUAAGAGCUGGGGACCGAACCCAGGGCCUUGUGCUUGCUAGGCAAGUGCUCUACCACUGAGCUAAAUCUCCAACCCCCAAACUUCACUUUUGAUAUUGUAAGCCUGUUGAAUUUAUGUGGCUACUAGGAUGGCUCUAAACAUACGUUGUGGAUUAUAUUUCUGUACAUAAAUACCCCAAAACUUUCUGUUGUUCAAGCCCAAAACCUCAGCUAUUCUCUGGAGAAAAAUGUUAUGCUAUUCACUUGCUCAUAUAAAUCGUGCUCAGGCCUUAGCAGCAAGCUGUCACGACAGUCCUAUCAUCAACGCUGACCAGGCUUAGGUUGUAUUCUUGGUAACAACUAAUUUAUAUCUGAAAUUCAUUAAGUUUAGGAUGAAGUGAAUUUUCCAUCCUCAUUAGAAAAUAACUGAAAACCAGGAAAUGUAGAGAAUACAAAUGCAAAAUUUAUUAGAGAUAGGAUCUCGAAAAUUCAGUAUUGCUCUUUUUGAUUAAAUCAAAUCAGCUAAGGGACUGAUUACAGCUUAACUCCAGGAGCCAUUUGUGACAUCCUGGGUCUAGCUUAUUUUUACCAAUUAAUGUUAGAGUAAGAGUAAUGAUGGCUGGCAAUUGCCCACGUAUGUCUGAGAGCAAAUUGAGGAAAUAAUUUGCAGAAUCUAUAUGCACUAAUUCAUGUCUUUGAGUUCCUUGGCUCUAAAAACUUUGGAUACUUAUGCCAGUAGCCAAGCCCACUUAUACACCCUCUAUCUCAGGUAUGUUUCAGGAAUGUCAAGUCCACUUACACCCUCUGAGAAACCUAGACAGUUAGAUGUUCUCAUCAGUACACCUGUAAUUUAUGGUUUAGGUUACAGGAACCAAAGAACAAUGGGGGAUUUUGGGGUGAUGGUGACCAUUAUGAAAUUGGUCUUGAGCCCUGCAUGUCCUUCCUGGUUUCUUGCUUGUCUUUAUAAGCCACUUCCCAGAAAUAAAGUUUGAGAGCUUGAUGUGAAAAAAAAGCCAUCUUUUCUCAGGAUAAAAAGGAUCUACUGUCUUUUUAUGACCAAUGCAUACACCAAAUGCAUGAGGUACACAAAGCUACCUAUAGGCAAAAACAAAACAAAACAAAACAAAACAAAAAACCCCCAUAUACAUAAAAUUAAAAUUCAUAAAUCAUUUUUUGUCUUUUUCCAUCUUUAUUAGAUUGGGCAUUUCUUAUUUACAUUUCACAUGUUAUUCCCUUUCCCGGGUUUGUUAAUCUGUGUCAUUUUAUUGGGAAAUUGAGUCCAUUGAUAUUGAGAGAUAUUAAGGAAUAGUGAUUGUUGCUUCCUAUUAUCUUUGUUUUUGCAUGUGAGAUUAUGGUUGUGUGCUUGUCUUCUCUUUGUUUUGUUGAAAAACGAUUAGUGUCUUGAUUUUUCUAGGGUGUAGCUUGCCUACUUGUGUUGGGCUUUUCCAUUUAUUAUCCUUUGUAGGGCUGGAUUUGUGAAAGAUAUUGUGUAAAUUUGGUUUUGUCAUGGAAUAUCUUGGUUUCUCCAUCUAUGUUAAUUGAGAAUUUUGCUGGAUCCAGUAACCUGGGAUGCCAUUUGUUUUCUCUUAGGGUCUGUAUGCCAUCUGUCCAGGAUCUUCUAGCUUUCAUAGUCUCUGGUGAGAAGUCUGGUGUGAUUCUGAUAGGUCUGCCUUUAUAUGUUACUUGACCUUUUUCCCUUACUGAUUUUAAUAUUCUUUCUUUAUUUUGUGCAUUUGGUUCUUUGACUAUUAUGUGACAAGAGGAGUUUAUUUUCUGGUGCAUUCUAUUUGGAGUUGUGUAGGCUUCUUGGAUGUUUAUGGGCAUCUCUUUCUUUAGUUUAGGGAAGUGUUCUUCUAUGAUUUUGUUGAAAAUAUUUAUGGUUUUGUGUGAAUGGUGUUGACAGAGAAAUACAGAUUUCAUUCUCAAUGAUGAGUAGCCCUAAAGAGAAGUGUUCAUGGCCGUCAAGGAAGUCAGACCAAGGACGGCAUCAGAUCCUCUGAUACUAAAUUCAUAGGUGCUUAGAAGCAUGGAUAUAGAGCCUGAAAUUGAACCCAGGUCCUCUAAUAAGGAUCACGGGCUUUAACUGCUGAGCCAUCCCUCCAGCCCAGAGGAAGCACUUUGGUACCAACUUCUCAUGGUGUUUUCUAUUUAAGUGAAGAUCCUUUAUUUAAUAAGUGGUUUUGUGUGAAUGGUUUAAAGGGGUUUGUUUCUAGGGUUAAGCUCAUUACAGAGAAUGAUAUUAAUAUUUUUUAAAUAAAAGCAAAAUUUCAAAAAAAAAAAGAAAAUAUUUAUGGGUCCUUUGAGCUGGGAGUCUUCACUCUCUUCUAUACCUAUUAUCCUUAGGUUUGAUCUUCUCUUGUGUCCUGGGUUUCCUGUAGGUUUUGGGCCAGUAGCUUUUUCUGUUUUACAUUAUCAUUGACAGUUGUGUCAAUGCUUUCUAUGGAAUCUUCUGCUCCUGAGAUUCUCUUUUCUAUCUCUUUAUUGUUUCAAUUUUAAUUUUCAAUUCCUUCACCUGUUUGAUUGUGUUUUCCUGUAAUUCUUCCGGGAAUUUUUGUGUUUCCUCCCUAAGGGCUUCUACUUGUUUACUUGUGUUUUUUGCAUUUCUUUAAGGGAGCUCUGUAUGUCUUUCGUAAAGUUCUCCAUUAUUAACAAAAAUGUGAUUUUAAAUAGAAAUCUUGUUUUUCUGUUGUUUUUUGGAAAUCCAGUAUUUUCUAUGGUGAAAGAAUUGGGCUCUGAUGAUGGCAUGUAGUCUUAGUUUUUGUUGCUUGGGUUCCUGUGUUUGCCUCUCCCCAUCAGGUUGUCUCUGGUGUUACCUUGUUUAGCUAUUUCCACAGUGGCUUGACUUUCUUAUAGGCCUGUGUGUCAGCAGUGCUGUAAGACCUGUUUUCCUGUUUUCUUUCAGACAGUUAUGGGAACAGAGUGUUCUGCUUUCAGACGUGUAGUUGUUCCUGUCCACUGGCUUUCAGCUGUUCCUGUGGGCAUGUAUCCUGAGUCCACCAGACAGGUCACUUGGACCAGAAACAUUGGUCUUACCUCUCUCUGGUCUCAGGCCUGAAUUCCCUCCUCCGGGCUCGGUUUCAGCUCUUCAUGAGGGCAGCAACCAGUAUGGCCUGCCCUUUCUUCUAGUUCACUGUGUAUAGGGGCCCUUGAUGGUACUAGCUGUUUUCUUCUCAUGUCAGAAAUGUGGGCAGAGAGUAGUAACCUCUUGUUUCCCAGGCAUGUCUGCCCCUCUGAUGGUCUAGCUCUGUCUCCCACAGGAUUUGGGUGCAGGGAGCUGUUUGACCAGGUCCCUUCAUAUCUGGGUGCAGUCUGGACCAAAGGCCUCCUGCAGCUUUACUGCCCCUAUCUUCCUGUGCCUAGAGUCCCUAUACAGUUUCCUCUUUGGCGAGGGAUGUGGGAAAGGUGGGCAGAAGUGGCAGUCUCUCCUGCCCUGCAGGCUCCAUUGGUCACAUGUCUGGGCGAUGAGCUCUCUCUCUCUCUCCCAUGGGGUUUGGGAACAGGGAGCUGUGAGUCUGGAUCAUCUAGGUUCAGGAACCACCUAGAAACUGGAAGUGUCAGGUUCCAGACGAAUUUUGCCCUUGUGUUCCCUGAGUCCACCAGGCAGGUCACUUGAAGCAGAAAAGUUGGUCUUACUUCUCUCUGGUCUCAGGCCUGAAUUCCCUUAAGGUCUGGUCUCGGACCUUAAGUUGCUUCUUGGGGCUGGGUUUCUGCUCUGUGAGGGCAGCAACCAGAAGGGCCUGCCCCGGCUUUUCUUGGUACCUGUGAACAGGGGGCCCAGAUGGAACUUGGCAUUUUCCUCUAGAGUCAGAGGAAAGAGUCUCAGGGAGAGAGUAGUUUCACCUGGUUUCCUAGGCAUGUCUGUCCCUCUGAAGGUAAAAUUCAUAAAACUUAAGAAAAAGAAACAAUAAACCAUCUGAGGAUAUUACAUCGGAAUCAAGUUAACAGUCUAAGAAGAAUUUGAAGGCAUCUGUGCUAGUAUGAGAAUAAGAUUGAAGCCUGAAUAUAUAAUUUCAAAUGUUCAAACUGAAGCAAUAGUUGUCAACAAAGUGAUUUUAGGAAAAGAAAAAAAGAAAGAAAGAGAGAAAGAGAGAGAGAAAGAGAGAAAGUAAACCAUUUCAUAACCCAUAGUACUCUUGCUGAAAUCCUCAAAGAUUUGGUCAAUCUUAGGGAGCUGUGGUAAAUUCCUACAAAAUGUUCAUUAUUUUUCAAAGGUUUAUAUGAUAAAACAUUAUAUUUUAUAACAAUGGGAAGAGACCACUUGGCAGAGAACAACAUUCUUCUAUGGUCAUUACUUCUUCAAAUAUAUGCUCAGAUUUUAUUCUGCUUAAAAUCUGUGUAGCUAUGUAUUAGUCAAGCUGGCCUUAGAUCAGAUUUAGAGGACAACUUUAUUUCAGGAAAGUGAUGGCUAUUUCCUUAUUUAAGUUUCAAUACCAGUGGUUUUGGCCAUUCUUCUGUUUCUGUGCAUUGCUGUAACACACCUGCUUGAUUUUCUCAUGACCAUUGUAGCACAUCUUUUUUUUUUCUCUCCUGUUAUCGUGGAUUCAAUUGGCCCAUAUCCUUUUGCACAGUUUGUUAAGAUGUCAUGGUGGCAUCAUAUUUUAUGUUUGUUAGAAUAAACUAAAAGAUUUUUAAAGUAUACACAUAAUCAUGUCACAUAAUGACAUUUUAAAUGUAAAUAAGAAAUCCUGAAUUUAAUAAAGAUGGAGGAAAAUAUAGGAGAAAGUUCUGUUCAUUUGUAGACAACUUCAUUGGGACUGAUAGACCUGAAGUCAUUUAAUGAGUUUUUCAGAAAUCAAAGAAGCUAGUUCCUGAACUAACUUAUGGAUCUCAGGAAAGGUACAUGAACUUUUUCCCCACAAAAGAAUUAUCACCAGAAUACUGAUGCAUAGAUGGAUAUCUGUACCAUUAGUUUCCUGUAGCCUCCAUAAGGAAUGUAAUGCAUGACCUCUGAGGGAGAGAAACAGUUCACCAUGAGUAGCAUUUUUUUAAAUGGACUGUUAAGACAAUGACUACUAUCAAUGAGCAGAUAGUACUCUGCUGAUCUUGUCAACUAUAUUCGGUCUUAGAGUUACCCAUUAUUACACAGGAGAAGUGAAAAAUGUAAGAAAAAAUAUUUCUAGGGACCCAGGAUAUUGUUUAGUGUUAGAAAAAUUGACUGAAUAGAUUAAGUUCUGUUUCACUCUGUAAUAGUAGAAAUUUGAGUAGCAUUAAAAAAUACAUUGACUCGGUGAAAAGGAGACUUAAUGUGUGUGUGUGUGUGUGUGUGUGUGUGUGUGUGUGUGUGUGUUCAAAAACAUAAAAUUUCUCAUAGACAGAACUCUUUUCCACAAUAAGGGACAAGUGGAUAGCAUAUGAAAAUUGGAUUCCUCACUCAAUACUUCACAUAAUCGAUUGUAACCACACACAUUUACCUAACAUUAGAAACUUUUAAAAGACAACAGUAAUAUGUGAGUUAAUCACUCACAUUUAAAUCAAAUUAUAACUAAGACAGGACCAAAAUAGCCAAAUAAAUGUAUAUUAUAGCAAUUUAUAUAAGGUAUGCACUUUUAAAUGUGGCUUAGACAUUCCAAUGGGUGUUAUAACACAAAUAAGGGACUUUGCUAGAAUGACAUUUGCCAAUGAGAUGGUAAGCUGAUGAGGCUCAGAACCUGACAGGGUGAGAUGCACAUAUACCCCAUACAAUGAGAUUCUUCUACAACUGUCUCUUUAAAACUUUCCCUCAAUUAACCUGUGCUCACAUUUACAACAGGAGAUUUUUUCAUAUUUGUUUGUUGCUUUUUAGAAGAGAAUGAAAGUUCCUUUUGGUAAGAAGGUUGAUUGUGUAUGAUAUUUGGGUAAGUAAACUUAGUACUGAAACAAUGUAUCACCUUUAUAUGAGCUAGCUCCUCCAUAGUAGUACUAAUGAUGCUUCAGAGAAGUAAACAUGAAGACCAUGCUCAGUUGUGAAUUUUGCAUGCUUAUUAAUAAAUUUGAGAAUCAAGAUAUCUUACCUAGUUUAAUAAUGGCAUGGAUUAUAUACAUAAAUUCAAUGUUCCUGUUGGAUUCAAUGCCAAUUCCAGGUAGGAAAAAGUCACAUGUAAUAUGGGUAACAUAAACAUAUAUCUGAGGUAGAGGGAGCCAUGGCAUCUCCUAAAGAACUGAUAGGUAUUGAUUAUUUAAAUGAAGCACUAGGUAAAAUUCUUCCAUUAAAAAUGUGUUUGCUAGCACAGGUUUUUACUAUACUACGUGUCCAUUUCUUAAUUUUCAUCAUUUCCCUCACUUGUACUUCUUAGGAGGAAAUAAUCCUCAAGACAUCUCAAUACCCCUCUUCUAGAGAGAGAAUUAAUUGAAAAAUUCUGUACAGUUCCUCAACCUACUGGGACUUAAGAAUUGUCAAACAGCCGUGUGAAACCAUCCUACUCUCAGGGACUCUUGAGGGAAAAAGUGCUGGAAAAAAUGGAAGUGCUCUCAAAUGUUUUAUAUAGUUCCGGUCUCCAAGAGAAAUUUUUGACAUUUUCAGGCAAUCUUCCCCAUGAAACAUGACAAAGAAAUAUCUUAGAUUGUAUUUGGUCAUUUUAUAUUCCCUCUUUAAAUAUCAGGAAGGAUAGGGUACUUAAUUGAGUAACAUAUGCUCCUACAACUUUUUGUACUGAAAUCUACUGUGACUGAAUGUGGCCAAGGAAGUCCUGAUUGUGAUUCUAUCAGUGGAUCCCUGAACAAGUCAUCAUUCUUACAUAGUACAAACAUUUUGUUGUAUAUUUUGGGUCAGACCUCAAACAAAGGUGUAAGCAGACAAUCACCAAAGCAUUGUAAGUUAAUCUAAUAAGCAUAACUGUUCCCUAGAAUGGACCGUGUUGGAAUUUUCUCAGUAUGUUGUUACAAUGCUAUGAGGUUGCUGGACACUACUUCACCUCCAUUUAAUUGAAGAAUGAAAUUCAUGUAUGUAUGCAUAUCAAAUAUAUUGUACACAUUGUGUUUAUAGUUUUAGAAUAAAUAAAAUUAUAUUUCACAUA